CCCACAGUUAUAACCUGGGACACUGCAUUGCAUGGAUUUAUUGGACAGAAGAACCUCCAGAGGCUGUGAGCUUACAGAUAACUCACUGGCAAAAUGCUUCUGUUGUUUCUGUCUCUGGUUUUGGGAACUCCACAAGGACAAGGGGUUACAGUAACGUGUGACAAUAUAUCGGUUUCAAAAGACCAGCAACUGACACUGUGCUGUACAGUGGAUUACACUGCCAUACAAACUAUCAAACAUGGGACGAAGGGGACCACAAAUGACACAACAUGUGUUACUGAGUGGUUUGCAUGGAAGUAUUCAGAUAAUGUACUACUGAAUUGUAUUAAAGACUGUCACAUGAAAGAAACGGAAGCACCACACUGCUAUUAUAAGAAAGAAAAUGUUACAAAAGCUGAUGAGGGUAAUUACACUUUUUCCAUUGGCACAAACUGUGGGUUUGGUUCAGGGACAACAAGCUUUUUCACUGUUGCAGUUCCUGCGAAAAGUGUUGACAACUGGAGAGAGCAACAAGCUCCUGUAUGGUUAACUCUGGUUGUUAUCAUCAGCGUCAUCGCUGUUCUGGGCGUUCUAUUGUUUCUAAAAACUUAUCGUUCUGGCAGAAGAUUGAUGAAACGACUCAAGAGUUCUAUGACCCAGAGCAACAACAACACUGAUGAGAGCCCUGAAGGUUCAAGAGAGGCCGUUACCCUGGUGCCUGCAUAACAUUCAGCGUGAGCCAGUUGUCUUGUUGGUUAUUUCGAAAUGAACUCCACGUUGACCUCUGCUAUGUUGCUGUAUGUCAGAUGCAUUCUAUACCAAUAAAACACUACUCACUUUUGCACCUAAAUUAGUUUUGCACCAACAUUUGUGGAAUCAGUUAGUGAAAUCACUAAUAAUCGUCUUUCACAGAAAAAAAGGGUGCUAAAAAGGGUGCUAUCUAGAACCAUCCCCAUAGGAGAACCCUUUGAAUAACUCUGGUUCCAGGUAGAACCCUUUUCAUAACCCUUAAGCUUGUUUACAAAGGGAGUUGGUUUUGGUCUAUAUAUACAUUGAUGUUGUAAUAUUCUGUAAUAUUCUCACAAGCAUUGUUUUCAUAACUACUAAGCUAAACUUGUUUUUAGUUUUAGCCUAAACUCUGACGUAAUUUUCUGGGACUCAUGUUUUUUUAAAUUAAUAUAAAAUGUUAUUGAUUUGUGUACAAAUAAACGUUUGGAAAUAACCAGUCUUCAUAAUGUUAUUUCUCUCAUAUAGAGCUUGUUGUCUUGUGCCGAAUUAUUAUCUCCAACAAUAAUGUACAUUUCAGUUAUCACAGCACAUAGAGUACCCGUCAGCAGAAAAUAACCACAACACUUCCUGUGAACAAGUCAACAGAGGAAACUCUUUCUCUAUCCAUUUAUUCAGUUGUUCACCAUUUUACCCUGCCAAAAGACAGUUCACCAGUCAGUUGUGAGUGUUUUGCGCGUGCGGAAGAGUGUGUGGAGCUCUCUGAUAAAUGCAGCUGGUACCUAGUCGGCAGGAUGGAUGUUCUGUUGUGGAGAUGUGUGCUGGGACUCCUCUGCAGCCCUGCAGUGCUCACCUGGACAGGUAAGUGAGUUUUUAGUUGACCCUAAAUGGACAAUUAACCGUCAGACAAAAAAAAGGAGGACCAAGGUGGCAUUCUUGUCUUCAUAAUAACAAUAUGUCUAAAUCCUGGGCCCCUGUCUAUCUAUCUCUCUCCCUGCAAGUUUCCCAGAGCCCCAGUGCCGUAGCUCUGAUGAAGGUCAACUCCUCGGCCGAGAUCCUCUGCUCCACAUCGCUACCGGACCCCACAGGCCUCUACCUCAGGGGUCGAUUCCACAACAACAGAGAUGUGCUGUACUUGUCGAUAGCUGACAGAGCAGUCGGUAGGACCACAAUCCACAAUGGGUUCAGAGGUCGGGUCACAGUGGUGUCAGACCAGGACCAGGAGGUCAAGCGGUGCUGUGAGUUCACACUGAGGCUGUCCCAGCUUGGGGUGGAGGACACAGACAGUUACUACUGCAGCUGGAGGUACUACGAUACCAAAGGGAAAGUGCUGGUACAGCGGCACAGUAAUGGCACCAUCAUCAUUGUCAGAGGUACAAAUAUUAUUAUUUUUAUUCAAGAAGAAGAAGAAAUGUUAUUCAUCAGGGUUAGGGUGAAUUCCAUUUUUCAUUCAGAUUGUCUUUCUCUUCCUGGAUUAACGAAGACUUGGUAUCCAAUCAUUAUUCUAGAACUGUCUGUUCCACACUUUUUUAUGAUGCAGUGUGAAAAUAUCAAUCUCUACUAUUUCAACGACAUACCACAACUGAUGUAAGUGGUUUUAAUGUGCUAGUACUAGCUAUGAUCAUGAUUAGUGCACAAUAUGUCAGGUAUUGUGUUCCAAUAUGUGCAAUAUGGACUCACCAUAUUCCUUUGAAUUUCUUUUGAAUGAGUUUUCCCUGAGCAGUUGACCAGGCCAGGAAAAACUCUGGGUCAGAGUCAAAGGGCUAUAAUGAGGGCCCAGAGUUUUUCAAGAAGACAUGAAGCUGAACCACUUCUUCUAAUUCCCUCUCCCCUCCAUACAGAGAGAGAUCCAGAGAAGGGCUGUGGCGGCGGUCAGACCAACAUUGAACUCAUCUUGAUUGUGCUGAGUUGGACGGCCUUCAUCGUCAUCUUCUUCCUCUUCAUUGGAGCUCUGAUGUGGCGAUGCACACGGACCAAAAAGCACUACACACCAGCCAGGGACAAUAGAAGACACCACCAGCAUGUGUGUCCACAGCACAGGCCUACUGCUGACCCAUAGUUCAUCUACUCGAGCAGCUCUCCAGGCCAUGUCAACUUUAAAGGGAUACUGUAACAUUGAAGGGAAGGGAAGAAGUGAUUCUGCAAUUGCGGUAAUGAUUUACCUUUAGAGUGUCUACGCAGUUAGGCCUACUGUCUGUUCUCACUAAUGGAAUGUUCUUUACUUACUGUUUUUGGCUAGAUUUCAGAUAUAUUUUCAGACGUCUGUCUGAGCAAUCCAUUAUUUGCGUUUAUUUGCCAAGUUGGUAGUUGUGCAUUUCUGUUCAUUGCAUCUGACAGAAACAUCAGUGCAAUUAAAUAGUGUGCAAUUAUGUGCAUUUUGUAGGCUACUGUUCUCAUGAGCUCUUUCUCACCAAAUGUCUGUUUUUCUCUUCUUUUGUGUCUCCACUUCCGAUUGUUAUGGGAAUUGUCUAUGUUAACAGAAAGACUCUUUCUAUGUGACUCAGUGAUACUAACAUCAACGUACCAUACCACAUCCUGCAGUUUGAUGUCUGACAUGCUUUCAGAUCAUAUAUCGGCUGCCUAAUGUGUGAACGGGUCAAUUGUUUUGUUUUUUGCACAUCCUGUAGAUUUAAGUGUUUCGACAAUGUUGUGCUAAUCUGUUAGAUUAUCCUGCUCUUCAUCUGACAUGUCCUAAUGUGACCAAGCUGAAUAUACAUUCCACGCAAGUGAGAGAUAUAAAAUAGGCAUGUGUCAGUCAAGUCAACACAUACCCAUUUAAAGAGAUAUUGCUGCAUUACUUUGUAUUUAUGGAUUCCCUGGUCUCACUGACAGACAGCGGCGAGCUCCAGCUGUUUAGUUGAUUUAUGUAUAUAUUUUUGGGGGGUUACGUGUUAUUUUGGCAUUAAUAUGUGUCACAAAUCAGUUUGCAAACAAUGUGAAAAAAAUAAAGCUGCAUACAGACAUGGUC
ensembl:lncRNA